GUCCACGCCCUAAACGAUGAAUACUCGCUGUUAGCGAUACACAGUUAGCGGCUAAGCGAAAGCGUUAAGUAUUCCACCUGGGGAGUACGCCCGCAAGGGUGAAACUCAAAGGAAUUGACGGGGGCCCGCACAAGCGGAGGAGCAUGUGGUUUAAUUCGAUGAUACGCGAGGAACCUUACCCGGGCUUGAAAGUUAGUGAAUCAUUUAGAGAUAGAUGAGUGAGCAAUCACACGAAACUAGGUGCUGCAUGGCUGUCGU
rnacentral:rRNA from 1 species